rnacentral:rRNA from 1 species
AUUUAUACGCGAGGCAGCAGUGGGGAAUAUUGGACAAUGGGCCACAAGCCUGAUCCAGCAAUUCUGUGUGCACGAUGAAGGUCUUCGGAUUGUAAAGUGCUUUCAGUUGGGAAGAAGAAAGUGACGGUACCAACAGAAGAAGCGACGGCUAAAUACGUGCCAGCAGCCGCGGUAAUAAU